GGUGGCAAUGGUACCGCGUUGUGAAAGGGGGAUCCCAUCAGAACUUCGAAGUUAAGCGUGCUUGGGUGAGAGUAGUACUAGGAUGGGUGACCUCUUGGGAAGUUCUCGUGUUGCAUUCC
rnacentral:rRNA from 1 species